rnacentral:lncRNA from 10 species
CAAAGUGCAGCGCUCCCGCUGGCUCCCUCCACCACGCUGGCCUCAGCCCCCCCGCAGGCUUCGUCAGCUCCCACCUGGCGCCGCCUCCAGGCUACUCUGUACCCCUCUGUCCCCUGAGCUGACACAAGUCAGCUUUCUCCAGCCGGCUCUCAUCCGGGCUGCACUCCACUUACCAGAGCCUUCCUGAAAUGACCACGACAAACGCUUGUGUUACCAAAUCAUGGAGGCGGCACUCACUGUGUUCUGGACACAGUGCUAAACACGCUCUACAGAGACUAACUCAAUUCACCGUUGUUGUGUAAGCGGGUGGGCAGGAUGGUGGCCUCACCUGAUGCAGUGCACACCUCCAACAGGCAUCAGAUGGAAUGCACUGGGAGCAAGAUUCUCAUAGCAAUGACAAAGAUCCCCAACACCGUCCACCACGCAGCCCAUUUGCCUCUGGACGCGUGGCCUUGAGCCUGGCCCCUCGAGUUUAUCCCAGCGCUUGGUGACGAGACCCCACAUACUGCACAGGAGGACAGGCAGAGGGUCAGCCAGAGCGUGGGAUGUGGAAGUGCCACCUCCCUUUGCAGGCUGUGUGUCUUCGGAGCUUCGCUUCCAGCAGUCGCUGUGAUAGAGACUUUGAGCUACGUGGAGAUCCGUGUGGAGCUGGAAGUGAAGAUGAUGGCGUCCAAUCCACCUCCAAGGCUUAAAAAGUUGUGCAGCGCCCAACGGACACCACAUUCCAUUGGGAAGUGAUUAUGGUAGUAUGGUAGUUUAAGAAUGAAACAAAAUAUUUUUAAUUUAUGGGGAUCAUUUUUUGAAUGUCUACUAAGUUGUUAGAAUAUGAAUACUUCAGUUGUUUGUACUUAACUGUCUAAUACAUGGAACCUCUAUCUAUUUCUUUUGGCCUAGGAGGGCCGUGAAAAAAUUAGGGGGACACUCAAGGUGUUGUCACUGGAGACAGUUUGGGAGCCCCUGGAUUAUGAU